UACAGAGGUGCCGAGCGUUAGGCGGAAUCACUGGGCUUAAAGCGUGUGUAGGCGGGCGAUCAAGUACCUUGUGAAAUCCCACGGCUCAACCGUGGAACCGCUGGGUAUACUGGUUGUCUUGAGCCGGCUAGGGGCGAGCGGAACAGACGGUGGAGCGGUGAAAUGCGUAGAUAUCGGCUGGAACGCCGAAGGUGAAAACAGCUCGCUGGGGCCGCGCUGACGCUGAGACACGAAAGCCAGGGGAGCGAACGGG
rnacentral:rRNA from 1 species